UACGUAGGUGGCGAGCGUUGUCCGGAUUUACUGGGCGUAAAGAGCGCGCAGGCGGUCGUACAAGUCGCGUGUGAAAGCCCCUGGCUCAACUGGGGAGGGUCACGCGAUACUGUUCGACUUGAAGGCAGGAGAGGGAAGUGGAAUUCCCGGUGUAGUGGUGAAAUGCGUAGAUAUCGGGAGGAACACCAGUGGCGAAGGCGACUUCCUGGCCUGUUCUUGACGCUGAGGCGCGAAAGCUAGGGGAGCAAACGGG
rnacentral:rRNA from 1 species